rnacentral:rRNA from 1 species
AGAGUUUGAUCCUGGCUCAGAUUGAACGCUGGCGGCGUGCCUAACACAUGCAAGUCGAGCGGUAACAGGUGUAGCAAUACAUGCUGACGAGCGGCGAACGGGUGAGUAAUGCUUUGGAAUCUUCCCAGUAGUGGGGAAUAACCAGUCGAAAGAUUGGCUAAUACCGCAUACGUCUGUAAAGGGAAAGCGGGGGCUCGUAAGACCUCGCGCUAUUGGAUGAGCCAAAGUCGGAUUAGCUAGUUGGUGGGGUAAUGGCCUACCAAGGCGACAAUCCGUAGCUGGUCUGAGAGGACGACCAGCCACACCGGAACUGAGACACGGUCCGGACUCCUACGGGAGGCAGCAGUGGGGAAUAUUGGACAAUGGGGGAAACCCUGAUCCAGCGACGCCGCGUGUGUGAAGAAGGCCUGCGGGUUGUAAA